AUGCUUCUCAGCUCCAGCUCAACGCACGCAGCGUACACGGGAGUGGUGGAUGUCCUCAUUCUGAUCUCCGGCAGACAAAGAAACAAGAUUUUCCCUCCAAAUCCUGCAGAAUUUUGUGAAAAUGACAGAAGUGCUUGUGCCCGGCUGAAAUGUGACACCCUGCCUGCUCAAUGCCAGUUGCAAGUGCCCGUCCGGAGGUCGUGAUUUCAUGUAAGAUUUCUUUAAUGGUUUCCAUUAAUAUCACUCAUGUCCCUGUCCCUGUGGACGCGGCCCCGUCUCAUUCUCUCAGAGCAUUAUUUGUGCGCUCUGUGGCAAUGGGCUGUGACAGUCAGCUUUAGGAGAUUGCAAACCAACAUCGAAACCCGACCUUGCAGGGAUGACACUGCCGUUAAUCUAGGUGUUCUGGCUCCAUAAUCUAUUUCCCCCAGGAAAGCAUGUGGCGUAGCCUACUCGCCCAUAUUUCUUGCCUCUGAAAUAGAGACAACAGGGAGACGAGGAAGUGAGCAGACACGAGAGUUGUGGCUGAAAUGUGCCACGAAUGUCAGCGACGCAGCCGCCGAACACGCCAUUUGUUCACUGACAGCUUUUCGGGACUUACUGUACUCUCAGCAUCAGCGUACAUCUCUGUGGAUCAGUCAGUGAAACAGAGCUCCCUUUACCUAAGUUAUAGACUUCUGUUGAAAGUUAAGACCAAGAUUUAGAGGGCUGCAUUUUCCAUCCGAUCACAUUUUGCCUUACAUCACAUCCAUCCAUUAGCUGUACCACUUGUUCUGUUUCAGGGGGCGCGGAGCCAAUCCCACAGCCGGGCUACCUGCCAGCCCUGGACGGGCAGCCAGUCCGUCACAGCGCUGACACAUAGAGACAAACAACCAUUCGCGCUCACAUUCACACACCUCGGGGGCCAUUCAGAGCAGCCGAUUAACCCAACCUGCAUGUCCUCGGUCUGUGGGAGGAAGGCGGAGUCCCCGACAGGACAUUAAAACUCCACACGGAAAGGCCCCCGGCCGGCUGGCAGGUUCACGCCCAGAACCUUCUCGCUGUGAGGCAGCGGCGCUUACAUCAUCACAAUUCCGGUUAAUUAAUGCUUGACCUCUUGACCUUUCACCUUCACUGUUCCACUGGUGAACUUCCACCAUGUCAGUUUUCAUCAAUCUACAGUGCAUUAGUUCCUUUCCUAGCUCGCCGCUCUACCACGAUUCCGCAAUGUCAAAGCACCUUUCGUUCACAACUACGUCGCAAGGAUUGGAAAUUUUGACUUUGGCGUCUCUGAGCUGAAAUGGCAAAAAAAAUAAUACAAACACGCUUUCAUGAAGCAUCAAUUUCCACUGUCUUUUUCCACUAAUCAAAAUUUGUCAUCAGAUUAACUGAUGAUGUGGUAGAAGUUAGGGGUCGACCGAUAGGGCUUUUUCCGGGCUGAUACCAAACCAAUUAUUACUAAUCUUAGAGACCGAUAACCGAUAUUUGAAACCGAUAUUUGACUGCAGUAAAAAAAAAAAGUGUCACAAGGCAACAAUCCUCGAGCAGCCACAUGGUCAUAAAUACAGCAGAAGAGCAACACUGUACAAAAAAGACCCCUCACACUUUGUUUAAAUAAGAAAGUGAGCCGAUAUAAUUGCGGCCUAAUUGGAUUUCAUCCGGCGCACAGCACGAGCAGUUUUCCACACAAAGGCAACCGGACUCAGAACCGGUGACAGGAGUUGGUGAGCUUGCUGAGAAGUUGGAGGUGUGCGACCCGUUUACCGCGGCUCUUCAACUACUGGUUGGUCACAAUGGCUUCAAAGGACCUGGGGUCCUGUUGUCCUGAUGCCAUCUAUGAUAAACUAUCACAGUCAGCACUAACCUCAGUGGCAAACCAUGUUUCCUGGGACCGUCUGACAAUAACUGUCUGCUUCUCACCAAACAAAUGACCAGAUUGUCCC
rnacentral:lncRNA from 1 species